CUAUUUCUUUGUUUUAUUUUUUUUUUCUCAUUGCCUUCUAAUUCCUUCUACUUUUUUUAUUUAUUUAUUUUCCCCUUAAGCAAGGAGAAAUCUUAUAGAUUGUCAGAGCCCUGUGCCAUUUGCAUGUAACCAAAGAUUCAGUCCUUUCCAGGAACUCUGGUUGUCAACCCAUGAUUUUGCCUUUGUCUUUUCUCAUAGUUGUGCCUGUGGCGCCUGUCACUAGCAGUCAAAUAAGGACACUUUUACCAUUCUCUCCUGCUGCUCUACUUUUUUUUUAGUGCCCGUACAUGAAUUUGUUAUUCUUUAUAAUUCCCUUUGAAGUUGGAAAUCUAAGGGGAAUCUAAAACCGACCAGAUGUUUCUGCUGCUGGAGAGGGAAGAGAAUAAGGAUUAAGUUUAACAAAAACUUGGUCUCUAGGAAAAAAAAAAUCACUUCAGCUGGAAAUAACCAUUAAGUGCACUUAUUUUCUACAUAUCUGUUAAUUUAUAUUUACUAGUUCUUUGUAGACAAUAUCACCUAUCGGUUUUCUCUGGGGGAAAAAAUCAUAAAUUUUAAGAACAAAUAGAUUCAUGUUGGGGUUUGCUCAGGCCUAUUUCCCUUUUAGAAUUUUAGCUCUCUUGCCCUACACGUCCCCCUGGACUGCCUUAUGCUUUACAGUGAGUGUUUUCUGUUAUGUUGUUGUCAUUGUAGGCCCUAUUGUUGAAGCAUCACUAUCAUGUCCCAUCAGGCUGGGAGGCCAAAUCUGCAAACUUUCCUAAGAGGGGUGAGGUCAAUAUGGCCUGCGGUUAGGGAGGGAAAGAAAGGAGAUUUGCCAAAGUGCUGAGCUUUUAUGGAGAACUUCAUUCUCUUUAGAGAUCUAUAGAUCAAAACAAGGACAAGAGUGUUUAGGAGGGGAAAGGAAAAUCUUGUGGUCUUUCAGGAAUACAGAUGAUAUUGCUGAAAAAGUGUGAAUAAACAGGUUAGGAGAUAGAAAAUGAUAAGUAUAUGAAAGCACAAGAGGAAAAAAAAGACGUCAUCUGUGAGAUGACAUUUCUGGGGCCUUUGACGCUAGAUGUCCAAGGCUUCAGGCCCUGGUAUAAGGGAGAAAAUGUUAAAAAAAUAAAAUAAAAUUGGAGAAGAGUCUUAGAAACCAAUCAGGAUGUUUUGGUGGUAUGCAUAGUACUUCACAAAAGCAUUGGACUGCAGAGAUGUACUCUUUAUUUACUUGCUCGCUUCCAGUACAGCAUCUGUCACACUAUCCCCUUACACUGCUCUCUGGAUUUCCCAGGUUUCCCUAGGCUUCUAGGAGGACAGAGAAAUCUAUGAAGAACUGCUUUGUACCCCUUACCUUGCUCAGUGGAUAAACGUUUAGAAACAUUUCCCACAGCUCAUGAGGGAUGAAUAUUCACAACUCAUGUUCUAUUGCCCUUGCCUAUCUUGUUUUUAAAUAGAAAGUCUGAGUCCUCGGUAAUUAUAUUAAGCUUCUUAAGCAGCAUAUAUCAAUUGCAUACACCAUUUUAAGCAUUUUUUUCGGCCUUUUGAAAGAGAGAGUAGGGGAAGAGACAGAGAGAAAUCACUUAGCAGCUGAUUCACUUAUUUUAAGCAGCUUUCCCCAUUUUAAAAUAUAAAAAAUUCAGGUCCUGGAACAUUGGAUUUUCAAUUUAGUCCUUUAAAAAAAAAAAAAAGUUAAAAUAAGGGAGUUUCAAUCUAAACUGUUUCUUUUUCAUUUAUUAUUAUGAUUAUUAUUCGUCAAAGCAGAUAGUAUGAAAAGCAUUUAAGUUGGUCUCACUUAUGGCAGAGCUUAACUCAAUAAUCCAAGACUUGGAACUUGGUAUUUCAAUAAAGAAAACACUGUUUGAGGUAUUUUCCAUUCAAACCAGCAUCAAAAGUUUUUUAAUUAACACCAUCAGAAAUUAAUGGGCUAAAUGCAGGACAGGGUUCCUACAUACCCCACCACUGGGAACAAGACAGCAAGAGGAACCCAUUGAGCACGUUUGUAUUUUGUCCUGUGUUUUUAUUUACUCCUUGAACUGAGUCCCAGCUGCACAUUCCGGGGGCAGAGCAGCAGAGUGAAACCUGUGAGGGCCGCUCCACCCUAGCACUUUCACUUUGCUCACUGAUUAUUGUCCAGAGUUCUUUGUGAUUGUAAUUGGUUAGAAAGUUUGAAAUUAGCAAGUCCUUGUCAGCCCAGGAAAGCUUUGAAAUCACAAGGUUUGAUACAGCCAUCAAGCCUGUGGAAACCUAAUGGCUUAUUGGGUUGAGAGCCUCAGAGGCCUGAGCAGAGCACUCUCGCCCUAAGGCUUGGCCCCAGUCACCAUCCACCACCCUCCAGAGCUCCCUGUCUUAGAGGAUGGCUUUGUUUGAGGCCCUUUCUUUUCCAUCACUGAAGCCUCUUUCAGGACGAACAGACUGGACUGACUACUAGGCUUGGGAAGAAUGAGAGCAAAUGGAGUGGUGAAGAAGAGGAUCAAGAAAAAGGGAGGAAGGAGAAGGGGAAGAAAAAGCAUAAAGGGAAAAGGAAGUGGCAUAUUAAAUGGAAAGAGCUUUAACUUUUUAUUUAUUUAUUUAUUUUGUCAUUUUAGGGCCGCACUGGCAGCAUGUGGAGGGUCCCAGGCUAGGGGUCUAAUCGGAGCUAUAGCUGCCAGCUUAUGGCAGAACCACAGCAAUGCUGGAUCUGAGCCUCGUCUGUGACCUACACCCACAGCUCACAGCAAUGCCCGAUCCUUAACCCGCUGAGCGAGGCCAGGGAUCGAACCUGCAACCUCAUGGAUCCUAAUCAGAUUCAUUUUUGCUGCACCACCAUGGGAACUCCCCUAGAACUUUUUAAAGACUUGCCCACUCGUGGUCAAAGGGAAGCUACAUAUGUUCAUAUAAGGGAUCAUAAUGUACCCACGCUACCACCACCACCACAACCACAUUUUCUAGGGAUUAGGAAUACAGUCAUUUCCUUUAUACAUUAUAAUAGAAGGAUGAAGGGUCUAUAAAUUCUUCUCCUGUAACCAUAAAAAUAUCUUACUGUUUAACCUUGUGAUCUAGGUCCUUGAACCAAAAUUCUCCAGAAAACUCCUAUGCUGCAUGGUAAAUUGCAAAAUAAACUCACCUUCAGCUUUACAGUAACAAAGGAACUACUUGGACAGGGUUAAUGAAAGUAGAUAUUGUCAAGGAUGAAAUGUUUAUAGAAGCUUAAAGGUCUUAAUAACGUUCUAUAAAUCUUCUCAUUUAGUUGAAAGACUUCAAGCUUAAUACAUUUAGAUGCAAUCCUUAACCUUUUCCUAUUUCUCCUCUACUUUAAUACAAAACAAAACAAAAUACAAACCAACUACGAUGGCACAGAUAGUAUUGCCAUGAAUUCAGAAUGUCAGGAAAUUUUCAGUAGGCCCAGUCAUGACAAAAAACAGGAAAUUUUCAAUAGGCCCAGUCAUCACAAAAUGUUUCACCAUUUUUUGAAAAGCUCCCUAAAGGAGUUCAGAGAUUUCUCUCCUGAAACACAGGGAGAUCGAUAUAUAUGAACUCCUAGAGAAUAAUUGUUGAAUGAGUGUCAGCAUUUUCCUAAGAACUCCUAAGAGUCCAAUCUUGACAUCAUAGCCAGAGAAUCAGGUAAGCCAACUAGCAAUUUACCAUUUUUCUACUGUUUCUUAGCUGAACAGUGUCAGGGUUGUCAUCCCAAAGUUUGGCUUCUUGCAGGAGUCAGAGACAUUUUACGUGGAAUAUAAUUGAUUAAACCUUGUCCCAAACCAUCCUUUUGAUCAGCUUAUGCUAGAUCAGACUGCACGUACUGUGCCACACCCCCAGGAACCUCUAUGGGCUGCUCUAGCAGGUGUGUUGAGCCCUCUCUAGUUAUCCCGCAGCUCACCUCUAGUUUCGGCCACUCUGAAGCAGUUCUCUGUUAGUCCAGACUCCUGCCUCAAUGGUCUUUUCCACAGUUUGCCCCAGGGCCUUUUCAAGUGCUGGGAGAGUUCAGUAAGUCUACAGUGGAAUGGGGAGCUAGAUUAGCAGCUUAAUUCUCUGUGGUGGCAGCUCUCAACCAAAGGAGGAACAGAUCU
rnacentral:lncRNA from 1 species